AACGAACGCUGGCGGCAUGCCUAACACAUGCAAGUCGAACGAAGCCUUCGGGCUUAGUGGCGCACGGGUGCGUAACACGUGGGAAUCUGCCCUUCGGUUCGGAAUAACAGUUAGAAGUGACUGCUAAUACCGGAUGAUGACGAAAGUCCAAAGAUUUAUCGCCGAAGGAUGAGCCCGCGUAGGAUUAGGUAGUUGGUAGGGUAAUGGCCUACCAAGCCGACGAUCCUUAGCUGGUCUGAGAGGAUGAUCAGCCACACUGGGACUGAGACACGGCCCAGACUCCUACGGGAGGCAGCAGUGGGGAAUGUUGGACAAUGGGCGAAAGCCUGAUCCAGCAAUGCCGCGUGAGUGAUGAAGGCCUUAGGGUUGUAAAGCUCUUUUACCAGGGAUGAUAAUGACAGUACCUGGAGAAUAAGCUCCGGCUAACUCCGU
rnacentral:rRNA from 1 species